UCAUUAAAGAUACCAAGCUGAUAAUUUUUUUUCGUUUUCAAAAGAUUCAUUCGCGAUGCCCGAAUUAAGAAAUUAACAAGGUCAAUUAAAGUACGAAGUUUAAGCCCAUUGAGAAGCCAAAAAGACGAAAAUUAACUGUAAUGACGUUCAAAAACUAACCAAUUAAAGGAUUAGGCCCAGUAAGACCCCUUUUUUGCCCCAUAUAAAGCAGUUUUACAAAAUCGCUAAUAUGUAGACUUUAAGCUAUUCAUUGAACAAAAGAAUACUUCUGUUACAUAAAUAUAGGCUUAUUUUGACAAUACAAUAC
rnacentral:lncRNA from 1 species